rnacentral:lncRNA from 1 species
CAUAGCUAAUGUAAAAAAUAAAUUAUUAAAAAAUAAAAAAAAUUGAUAAAUAUUUUAGAAUAUCAUCUGAUUCGAUUUUACCUCAUUCUAAGAAUUUUGUUGAUAAUAAUGAUAAUCAACUGAAAAAAAAACAUACAUGGUUGUGACGUUAACAAUUGUAUCACAAACGGUGACUUAAAUAAAAAUGGAUCUCAUGUAAGUAGAAGUGGUAUUGCUACUGCUGCUGUCCCUAACAACAAUAAAAAUGAAUAUAUCAACGAAUCUAUCAAUAAGUCUAUUAAUAAAUCUAAUAAGAAUAAUAGUAUUUAUUGCAAUACAAACAACAUUAAUGAUAAUAACAUAUAUUCGCAGUAUAAUAAUAAUAAUAGUAGUAGUAAUAAUAAACAUAUGUUAAAUAUAAACGGGAAAAAUAUUAAGCAAUCAAGUAUUGAUGAUAGUGAUAAACAUAUUGUAAUAAAAGACGAUAUUAUUAUUUUUAAGAAUGUGGAUGAUGAUGAAGUAGUAAUGAUGAUGAUGAUGAUACAUGUGAUAGUAGUGAAAUAAGUUGUACCGACACAAGCGGAGUAGAUAGGAGUAAUACAGACAUAAGUGGGGGAGGAGGUAGUAGCAAUCACAUUUUAGAUAAAAGUAAAUAUUCUACUCGUGUAACAAAAAAAUUAAACAGUUCAUCAUAUAAAGAUAAUAAAAACAUAGAAAAAGAGUUAUAUAAUAAAUUUUAUGAAAAUAAUAAAGAAAAAAAUAAUGUAUAUCCUAAUGUAUAUAACUUAGAUGAUGCUACAGAAUUAACAGCUUUAUUGAAUGAUAAUGGAAAACAUGAAAUAAAAAAAUUGUUAUGGGCAAUUAAUAAUAAUUUUGGUAACGAUAUUGAAUUUUCACCUAUAAUACCAAAUCUGUGUAUUAUACUUUUGAUUUAUUUUAAAGCUUCAGUUGUUUAUUGUAUUAUUCAUUGUUUAAUAAAAAAUGGUAAUUGAUUUUUUUU